rnacentral:rRNA from 1 species
CUAGCGACUUCAGAGUUUGAUCCUGGCUCAGGAUGAACGCUAGCGGCAGGCUUAACACAUGCAAGUCGAGGGGCAGCAUGAAGGUUAGCAAUAACUUUUGAUGGCGACCGGCGCAAGGGUGCGUAACGCGUGAGCAACUUGCCCGUUUCAGGGGGAUAACCGGUGGAAACGCCGACUAAUACCCCAUAGCAUUGGUUUGAGGCAUCUCUUACCAAUUAAAGAAUUUCGGAAACGGAUAGGCUCGCGUGACAUUAGCUAGAUGGCGGGGUAACGGCCCACCAUGGCGACGAUGUCUAGGGGUUCUGAGAGGAUGGUCCCCCACACUGGAACUGAGACACGGUCCAG